rnacentral:rRNA from 1 species
UUCCGUAGGUGAACCUGCGGAGGGAUCAUUACUGAGUUACCGCUCUAUAACCCUUUGUGAACAUACCUACAACUGUUGCUUCGGCGGGUAGGCCGUCCCCUGAAAAGGACGCCUCCCGGCCCGGACCGGACCCCCCGCGGGACCGGACCCGGCGCCCGCCGGAGGAUAACCAAACUCUAUUGUAACGACGUUUCUUCUGAGUGGCAUAAGCAAAAUAAUCAAAACUUUUAACAACGGAUCUCUUGGUUCUGGCAUCGAUGAAGAACGCAGCGAAAUGCGAUAAGUAAUGUGAAUUGCAGAAUUCAGUGAAUCAUCGAAUCUUUGAACGCACAUUGCGCCCGCCAGCAUUCUGGCGGGCAUGCCUGUUCGAGCGUCAUUUCAACCCUCAAGCUCUGCUUGGUGUUGGGGCUCUACGGUAGACGUAGGCCCUCAAAGGUAGUGGCGGACCCUCCCGUAGCCUCCUUUGCGUAGUAACAUUUCGUCUUUUCAAUGGCAUCCGGAGGGACUCUUGCCGUAAAACCCCCUCAAUUUUCCAGAAGGUGACCUCGGUGCAGGUCUGAAUGGACACCCCUUC